GCCUGUGUGGUAUAGUGGUUUGAACACCGGACUGUGACUCUAAAGACCAGGGUUCAAAUCCCCGCUCAGCCA